ACAUUAUUAUUUGUCAAUUUUAAUUCUGAAACGAUCCAUUUUUGUAUUUUUAUUAAUUAUGGCAAUUGGCUCAUAACUGGCUUAAAACUUUUUUCUCAAGUUUAUUAAGGCCAUCUGAUCUGCAUUCCAUGAUAAUUAAUAUAAAUUAACAUAGAUUUCAAAAAGUGCCCCUAAUUGAAGAAUCACCAAAACAUCUCAUGAGUGCAGACUUCAUUUAAACGCAAUGAAUGUGGGGGAAAAAUACUAUACGUUUUGUUAAUAAUGUAAUCAAAACUUUGUGUGUCUAUUGAAUCUGACUUGCUUGUACCAAAAGAAAUUGGUUAAUACUAAAUGAAAGCAAAUAUAUCGUUAUUUUGUGAUCAAGUUGUGCGAAAAUGUAGUCAUCUCCAGAUUAUGUAAAACUCAAAUCACGUCUAGCCUAAAAAUAGAGCAUUCGAGAUUUCCCUCAAAGUGAGACGUCACAACGCUUCUGGAUUCUGGGGGAGGAAAGAGGAAGCAUCUGAAAAGGUGGCUCGGAUCGGGGGGGGAAGCAUGUCGGGGCACAUGGCAUGGGAGACUACCAGAUCAGAGACUGAAAGACUGAGAGAUCACGCCUUGAGUCCGCCUUGUGAUGCAGUCUCCAUGGCGACUACAGUUUCCUGGGAAACAACCUGGACGUCUGUUCACUGGAAUUCUGGAGUUUGCUGACGACAGAUAUUAGGCUAAUAUGAAUGAAGAAAACACUUAAGGCUUCGGGGGAGAUCCACGCAGUGCCUAGGACCAACGACCAAUAGAAAUGGAUGCCGUUAACCUUUCUGCUACCAAAACAGAACUGAACUCACCUUCAAAUGACACAGAAGAUGCCCGCAUAUCUCUACUGCCACUUCUCAUUUACGUCUGGCUGAAUCACCGUGAACCGCAACACUCCAGAAGUGACCUUUUUUGGGUGAAUUCUGCAGGUUCACAUUUAAUACGAAGAAAGCAAUACGAAGAGAACUGAACUGUUGAACUGUUGGACAUGAACUGUUGGAUCAUCUAAGAGACCACUGCCAGAUAUUAAUCAAGUUGUUUUCUGGUGUCCAUCAUGUAUUUACAGUUUAGCUGUUGUUGUGCCAGAUGUGAUAACUAU